rnacentral:misc_RNA from 1 species
GACCUUGUACUUGCCUCAGAUGUAGACGAUUAUAAUGAUCGGAAAGAAGGCAAAUUAGUUUAUUAAUUUUCUCAAGAAUCAUCUGAUGUAAAGGACAGCUAUUCCUUUGAGGAGAUCAUUAAUAGUUGUCGUUAUGUGGGUGAAACCAGAGGAAGUUCUUUUGGCCAACGCGCUGUGGGUCACAGAGAGGGCAAACCCAUACUUCAUCCUACAGAAGAGGAAGGGAUAUGGCGGAGGAGGUCUCACAGGGCUACUUGUUGGGACCCUGGAUACCGUGUUGGAUAACAAGACAUAUCCGUACCGGAUUCUUCAUCAGACACCAGGAUCUGAAGUUAGUUACUCUGUUGCCGUGGCGACCAACAAGCGGGAAAUCAGCAAGGACUGGGAAUGGCUGGAACAGCAUCUAAUGCAGACGCUUAGUGCCUUUGAGAGUGACGAGGAGUCAACAGACUUUGUACGUUGCAAGAUUGAGAGCUUGCUGGCCAACAGGGUUGUGCUCAAAGAAGAUGAGGAAACUGAGAGGUUCAAAUCUGCUACCAAGAAGUUCAGGAAAUUAUUCAAUAUGCCAAAGGAAGAAAAACUUGUUAAUUACUAUUCCUGCAGCUACUGGAAGGGCAAGGUGCCGAGACAGGGCUGGAUGUAUCUGAGUGUGAAUCACCUCUGCUUCUACAGCUUCCUGAUGGGCAGAGAGGCCAAACUCAUCCUCAGGUGGACGGACAUCACGAAACUGGACCGAGGCAACAACAUGUUGUUCCCCGACAGUGUCAAGGUGUCGACCCGCGAGGCUGAUCACUUCUUCUCAAUGCUGCUUCACAGUAAUGAGUCCUACCGCCUGAUGGAGCAGCUGGCCAAUAUGGCCAUGAGACAAUUGAUGCAAGAGGGUGGAUUUGAAGAAGAUACUUCCAUUUCCACCAGAACCAAACGGAAGACCUCAAGGAAGAUGUCAUCGCUCAAAAGGGACCUUGAUGCUAGAGCUCGCAGUGAGGCUUUCAGACAAGCGCUCCGGCUGCCAGAUGGGGACAAGCUGGAUGGGGAUGAAGAGUGUACGCUGUGGACGCCCUACAACAAGCAGCACGUGUGGGGACGGGUGUACCUCAGCAACAACUACCUGUGUUUUGCUAGUCGGGUUGGUAUCCCAGUACGUGACCUUGUGACUGUUAUAAUCCCCCUCCGUGACAUCCUGGUGGUGGAGAAGGUAGAUAACUCUGUGUCUGGAAACCUGAUACAGAAAGCACUGCAUAUAACAACCAAAGGCAAGAUGAAUUUCACAUUUGCGCAGUUUGACGACAGGAACUUCAUCCUGGAGAAGAUAUCCGACUUCCUCUCGAAGCAGUCAAUAAACAGAAGCAAGAGGAGGAGUACCAGCACAUCAUCUGACGGGAAAGGAAGCAUCUCUGAGGAGCCUGCUGAGGAACAGUUUCAGCCAGCACUCAUCAGUCUGUUUUGUCGCAGAGACUCGGAUGAGUUGUCUUCCAGAGAAACAGUCAAACAACACUUGUGGGAUGUGUAUUUCUCUGAAUAUGGCAGGGGCAUGUGUUCAUACCGCACCCAUCGGACCCUGGAGCUGAUCCUGAAGGGCAUCCCAGACAAGUACCGAGGGGAGACAUGGAUGAUCUUCUCUGGCGCCCUGAAUGAGAUGAACACCAAUCCCGGCUACUAUGCAAAUAUUGUGAACCAAAGUAAAGGGAAAUCCACCAUUGCCACUGAGGAGAUUGAAAGGGACUUACACAGAUCCCUGCCAGAGCAUCCAGCCUUCCAGACUGACCUUGGCAUAGGGGCGCUGCGGAGGGUGCUGACGUCGUAUGCCUGGAGGAACCCCAACAUAGGCUACUGUCAAGCUAUGAACAUCGUGACGAGUGUGUUGCUGCUGUAUACAAGUGAGGAGGAGGCUUUCUGGCUGCUGACGGCAAUCUGUGAGAGACUCCUGCCGGACUACUACAACACUAAGGUGGUCGGGGCGCUCAUUGACCAAGGUGUGUUCGAGGAACUGAUCCGUGACUACAUCCCUAGCCUGUACCAGAAGCUGGACACCCUUGGAUUGUUGUCGAUGAUCUCCCUGUCCUGGUUCUUAACCAUCUUCCUCAGUGUGAUGCCAUUCAACUGUGCCGUCAACAUCUUGGACUGCUUCUUCUUUGAUGGCGCCAAGGUGAUAUUUCAAAUAGCUUUAACCAUCCUGGACAACAAGAGCAGCGAGCUGCUGGGCUGUGCGGAGGACGGAGAGGCCAUGACUGUCCUCUGUCAGUAUCUGGAGAACGUGACAAACAGAGAUUCCACCAUGCCACAGGUCCAACACACCUCCAACAUGUCACGCUCACAGGAUCAGUCGUCUGUUGAUGUGACAGAUUUGAUUGAUAGCAGCUACAGGAAGUUUGGCAUCAUCACCAAUCAGGACAUUGAGCGACUUCGUCUCAAGUACAGACUCAGAGUUGUACAGACAAUUGAGGACAACGUGAUGAAGAACAUUGUCCGCAGUGUGUCAUCUGAUACGCUGUUUGAAGGCAAGGAGCUGGCUGACCUCUACAUUCUCUUCAAGGAGGAAUACCUGACUUCAUGCUACUGGCGCACCAGUCAGCAGCCUGUGGACACAAGCGACAAGUACGAUCCUGCCAGACCCUACUAUGAGCAGUACAAGGUGGACUUCGACCAGUACAAGACCAUGUUCCUGUCUCUGUCACCAUGGGCAACAGGAUCACAUGCUGGAGUUGUUGCCCUUAGAUCUUUCAGGUAUCUGGACAGCAACAAAGACAACAUGGUGAACUUCAAGGAGUUUGUCCACCUGCUGGGUGUGCAGUGUAAGGGGGACUUCAACCAGCGCCUCCGGCUCAUCUACAUCCUCCACCAGCCCCCCUGCCUGCUGCCAGACGAGAAGGACGAGGAAACACCUACAUCACCUCAGUCAGACUCAACAGAGAGUGCUGUGGAGGCGACAGACUUCUUCGAUGACGAUGAUGCAGCGAAUGCACAGAAGGAGUGUGAUGGUGCUGAUGACUUGGAAUUGCCAAGUGUCGCAGCAGUGAAGGCCACUGCCCCCAGAGACAUUCCUGCCCCUUCUGCGGAGAAGGCCUGCCCCCCAGGGUCCCUGCCCCUGGGGUCAGUGGAGAGGGAAGCCUCCCUAGGGGAGAGUGUGGGAGAGGAAUCCAGUCAAGACCCCACAGAGAACUACAGCAUUGAUUCGCCUACAAGAAGCAUCAGUUCCAAGUCCAGCUUCAAGAGGUUUGAGUUGAAAAGGAUCCGCGCUGACAGCAAGGAUGACUUCAGGAGCAUACCGAGGAUGAACCAGUACCAGUUCAUUCAGAUGUGGAAGACCCUGUAUGACAUGUUCAACGAACACGAGGAGGAACAACAGCUCUAUCAUGCAAUUGCCACCAUCGGCACAUUACUUCUUCAGAUUGGGGAGGUUGGGAAACGAUUCAUGCGGAAAAGUGAAUCUGGAGACAGCAGCCUAUUCACUGAAUCUGACCUUCCUCUGUCCUCUAGCAUCGACAGUCAGAGUGACAUGUCCAUUAGCCCAAGUCAGAGGACACUUGAGAGCAGUUCGCCGUUUGAAAGUCAUGUAAAUACACCAACAAAUUCAUCCAAUCCUCCUGCAGAUAAAGACAAUUUGACCAAAAAGACAUUAGCAGAAGGGGAUAAUGUUGCAAGUGUUAAAGAUCCUAACAGUAAUGUCACUGAUGAGCAGAACAGUGUCACCAAGGGAGACAAUGCAGACAAAUCCAAGGGAGAUAAUUCUGAUGUAAAGGGAGACAAUUCUGUCAAGUCUAAGGGAGGUAAUUCUCAGAAGGAACUGAAGACUGAGGACAGUUUGAAGGAGAAUGUAUCUGAAGAAGAAAAUGGCAACUCAAGUCAAAAAUCAGGCAACAGUGUUGAUGCUUCUCGGGAAAGUCGAAGCAGCGUCGCCUCUGAGGGUCAACAGUCGUAUGAAGAGUCUUCCCAAAACUCAAGCAAACCAGAUUCAGAAUGGUCGAUCUCCUUUGAACAAUUUCUUGCAUCCAUGCUAACUGAACCUGUACUAGUAAAGUAUUUUGAAAAGCAAUACAACGUAUGCGAUUCUGUCUCCAAAAUGAGAAACAGAAGAUUACAAACUCAGACGAGUACGUUUAGUCAGGCAACAGCUCAGUCAAACUCUUAAUAUCUGUGAUCAUAAUAGCUCUGUGUCUUCUAGAGUGUAUUUUCAAAUUUGUUAGCUCAGAUGUAGAAAAUGUUGAUGAAACGCAGAAUUAAAUAGUCAUAAUGCAUUAUGAUGUUGGAUAUUUGGGGUUAUGAUUAGUUUUGGGGCUAUAGUGUUUGCAACAUUGGAACACCUCCAUGUAACUGCCUUAGGAGUCUCGUCAGAAUGGAAGCUGAAAAUAUACUCCUUUUAUUUUGACACUUUAAAGAAGUAGACGAAAUAGUCCCAGAUCAUGCAAUAGCCUUCAUUUUAUUAUAUCACUGUGAAAAUAAUUCAGUUGAAAUAAGCAUUUGUACAAGUUGAAUGCACACAACCUCCCAUAUGUUAAUGAAAUCACUUCUGUCAAAGACCACAAUUAUUGAAGUUAUAUUAUCUCUUAAAAUGUUGUUGGGUCAUAAAUUGUAUUGAGAUUUGUUUAUAUAUCAACCAAAAUAUGUUUAGGUGAAAAGAUUUUUAAUGAAAGACAUCUGUUUGUGUUAGUAUUUGCUUGAGAACAUGUUAUUUGUUGUAUAUGCUAUAGACUACUGUAUUAUUUCACAAUGUUAAAAUCGGAUCCUUCCUUCGACUUUGAUACUUUCUGCAUCAUGAUCUGACCUUUGAGGUCAUGCCAGGUGAACCUGAAUGACCUUUGUUGGCCAAUCAAACUAGGAGAUGUAUUUGGAGACAGUUAUCAUGUAGUAUGUGGUCUAACACAAUUCAGUUUCAUUUUGGUGAUGGAUGUGAUGAUUGGUUUGGGGAUAUGUAAUGAUAGUCACACAGAAUCCUUAAUGGUCCUGAACGAUGUGUUAGAGACAAUAGGGUUAAAACUACCUACACCAAAUCUUGUUCUUCAUUUGGAACUGCCUGUUUAUGAUUAAUUCCAAGAUGCAGCAGUCAGAUAUGCUUCUGAGAAUGUUUUGCUCCAAGAAGUUCUGUUUUGAUUGGCUGAUGACAAAGUUCACCUGAUGCAAUGCCUAUCGAGGGUUUGUCUUGAUGAAGUAUUCAGGGAGACCGAGACGUCCGAUUUGAAGGAGAUUUGAGAAGUUGUAUAUGUAACUAUUUUGACCAGUUUGUUGGUUAAUGGUUUCAACCUGGAUAAUGUAUGUAUGUAUGUGACCACAGUGUGGGCAUUCAUCAUUCUAUUCAUUGUUGACGAUAUUACUUUCACUUUAUUCAUUGGUUUUGUGGGUUUCUCAUUAUGCAUAUUAAUUGAAACAUCACUUUUUGGUGAAAAUAUAGCUUCUUAAGAAAAUAUGAAACAAAAACGAAGUCAUUAUGUGAAUUCAAUCACAAACACACUGUGGCUGUGUUUUCUAAUCCUGCAACCUUGAAAAGAUUAACAUGGAGUAUUCUGAAUGACAGUCAUUGGCUGAACAACAAAUUCCACAAAACACAUUGUAUGUCUUUUGUUUCAAACAUUGAAAUGAAGGAGAGAAAGUGCCCAUUGGAAAGACUGCCAGACAAUCUCAGCCAUCUACAGACUAUAAGUUUUCAAGUUUUAAAUUAAUAUAUUUCAAAUCGUAGUCUGGGAUUGAAGUUGCUUGGCUAAUGGCUACAUCUUGUUAGUAACAUUUUGAUCAGUCGAAGUUCAACAAGGUUGUUCCGGGACCUAUAUUGGGAUGUCCUCAGAUCUCAGUGAAGCGGCAAUGAGCACUGAAAACGGAUUUUCAUGAGAUAGUUUUUUCAUAGUUAUGACAUGGAACUUCAUUCUAGAAGGUACAUGUAUACAAUUUGUUGUUAAAACACUAUUAUGACAACACAAGGUUGAUGUGGGUCAAAGUUUGUUGAAAUAUGAAGAUUAAAUAUUAUUUUUGCUUCAGAUAAUGUUACUCUAUUUUCUAUGCCAAAUGACUGCAUGUUAGUGCUUCCAGGAUUUGUAUGCAUGUGUAGAUGUCAGAAAACUGAAGGAUUUCUCGAGAUAGUGCCCAGCUGCCAUGGUAACAGCCAAUCUAUGCCUUGUUAAAUAAUGAUUUUUGCGACAAUACAGACAAAGACAUAAUCAUGAAUGUGUGUUAAUGUCUGUAGAAGUUUUUUCUUCAAUCUUUUAUGCCCUUAUUUCCCUCAAUCAUAUUAAUUGCUGACAGUUUAGAUGUAUAAUUUUACAGUGUCAUGAUGUAGUGUCUUCAUACAAUUUGUCUUGAUGCAGUGUCUGAUACAAUGUGUCAUGAUGCAUUGUCUUGAUACAAUCUGUCAUCAUGCAGUGUUUUAUAUGAUGUGUCACAGUGCUGUGUCUGAUACAAUAUGUCACAAUUCAAUGUGUCCUGAUGCAAUGUUGAAACAAUGUGUCCUGAUGCAGUGUCUUGAUACAAUGUGUCCUGAUGCUGUGUCUGAUACAAUGUGUCACAAUGCAGUGUCUGAUACAAUGUGUCACAAUGCAGUGUCUGAUACAAUGUGUCACAAUUCAGUGUCUUGAUACAAUGUUUCACAAUGCAGUGUCUGAUACAAUGUGUCUUGAUUCAGUGUUGUGUCACAAUGCAGUAUCUUGAUACAAUGUGUCACAAUGCAGUAUCUUGAUACAGUGUGUCACAAUGCAGUAUCUUGUUACAGUUUAUCACAAAUCCAAGAGAAUAUGAGUUUUCAUCACAUGGAUUGGCAUUGAGUAAUACAUUGGCAUUGAGUAAUAGAUCUUACAAGAAACUUGACUUAGCAAACUCUCAGUGUAAUGGCACACAUCCAUGGGAACGUGCAAUCAAACUUAUUGUUAGAUUUUGUUGUCUUUCAUACUUUCAAAUAAUGAAUUGUGCAUUAACCAUGAUGGUUAAAUAUUAGUGUUAUUUUUACUUCAUAUCUUUUCAUUAAAUAACAUACAAACUUGAUUAGAUUUGAUUUGAAUGAAUCAUUUAUUUACCAAUAGUUCUUCCAUUUCAUUAUUUGCUGAUAUUUAUACAUGUGACUGAUGUGAUCUGUUUUUCAAUUAAUAGAUUAUUCUCAUAUCAUUAUUUCAUGAUACUUGACUUAAGAUAGGAAUACUGGGCUAGUGAUGCCUUUCUGCUUAAAAUUUAUGUCAUAUAUACUAGAGUGAGAGAGUUUGGUUGUACGCCGCUUUUAUCAAUAUUCCAGCAACAUCACGGCGGGGAACACCAGAAAUAGGCAUCACACAUUGUUCAUACAUACUAGAACUUAUUGACAACCAUACCUUUGUACAAUGGUAUUCCUAUCAAUGGUUUAGUACAUGUUAACAAAAAAUGGAUUAGAAUCUUGAGGGUAUUGGUGUAGAGCUGAAUACACAAUCUGAUAAACAUAUCUCAAAGUAUUUAUGUUCCCGAACUUUAUUGUUUAGUUCAUAAAAGAUUCUCAAGUACUAUUUCCACAAUAAACACAACUGCCUCCAA